rnacentral:tRNA from 1 species
GGGGUUGUGGCUCAGCGGUAGAGCGCUUGCCUAGCAUGUAUGAGGCCCUGGGUUUGAUCCUCAGCACCACA